rnacentral:rRNA from 1 species
GAUGAACGCUGGCGGCGUGCUUAACACAUGCAAGUCGAACGGUGAACGAGGGAGCUUGCUCCCUCCGGAUCAGAGGCAAACGGGUGAGUAACACGUGAGCAAUCUGCCCCGAACUCUGGGAUAAGCGCUGGAAACGGCGUCUAAUACCGGAUACGACGCGCGAAGGCAUCUUCUGCGCGUGGAAAGAAUUUCGGUUCGGGAUGAGCUCGCGGCCUAUCAGCUAGUUGGUGAGGUAACGGCUCACCAAGGCGACGACGGGUAGCCGGCCUGAGAGGGUGACCGGCCACACUGGGACUGAGACACGGCCCAGACUCCUACGGGAGGCAGCAGUGGGGAAUAUUGCACAAUGGGCGCAAGCCUGAUGCAGCAACGCCGCGUGAGGGACGACGGCCUUCGGGUUGUAAACCUCUUUUAGUAGGGAAGAAGCGAAAGUGACGGUACCUGCAGAAAAAGCACCGGCUAACUACGUGCCAGCCGCCGCCGUAAAAC